AUUGAACGCUGGCGGCACGCCUAACACAUGCAAGUCGAACGAGUGGCGGACGGGUGAGUAAUGUCUGGGAAACUGCCUGAUGGAGGGGGAUAACUACUGGAAACGGUAGCUAAUACCGCAUACCAUCGGAUGUGCCCAGAUGGGAUUAGCUAGUAGGUGGGGUAAAGUCUCACCUAGGCGACGAUCCCUAGCUGGUCUGAGAGGAUGACCAGCCACACUGGAACUGAGACACGGGCCAGACUCCUACGCGAGGCAGCAGUGGGGAAUAUUGCUAAAUUGGCGCAAGCCUGAUGCAGCAAUGCCGCGUGUAUGAAGAAGGCCUUCGGGUUGUAAAGUACUUUCAUCGGGGAGGCGUUACCCGAAGAAGAAGCACCGGCUAACUCCGUGCCAGCAGCCGCGGUAAUUC
rnacentral:rRNA from 1 species